AAGGCUGACCUCAAAUCAGGU
rnacentral:rRNA from 2 species